AAACUUGUCCAAGUCAAUGUUCUCUCUGAAUCCUGCCCUGUAGGGAGAGGGAGAAAUGAGCAGAACUUGCAGGGAGAUUGAACGUAAGAUCUUGCGCCUCCUCCAUGGCCACGAUACCCGGUCCCAACUCCGCCAAAUCCACGCCCAUUUCCUUCGCCAUGGCCUUCACCAACUCAACCAAAUCCUUGCUCAUUUCGUUUCUGUUUGUGGAUCUCAAAACAAAAUGGCCUAUGCACAUCGCCUCUUCUGCCAAUCACAACACCCCAAUAUAUUACUCUUUAAUUCCAUGAUCAAAGGGUACUCUCUUUGUGGACCCUUUGAAGAGUCUUUCAGUUUGUUUUCCUCUAUGAAAAAUCGAGGCAUUUGGCCUGAUGAGUAUACUUUUGCGCCUUUGCUCAAGGCUUGUUCGAAUCUUUGCGACCUUAAACUUGGCCGGUGUGUUCAUAAGGACGUUAUAAUUGUUGGAUUUCACUGUUUUAGCUCGAUACGAAUUGGGGUUGUUGAGUUGUAUACAACUUGUGGGAUAAUGGAAGAUGCUGAGAAAGUGUUUGAUGAAAUGUGUGACAUGGAUGUCAUUGUUUGGAAUUUAAUGAUUCACGGCUACUGUAAGAGAGGAGAUUUUGAUAUGGGUCUGCAUUUGUUUAGGCAGAUGAGUGAACGGAGUAUUGUUUCUUGGAAUAUCAUGAUUUCUUGCUUGGCACAAAGUGGGCGGGAUAGUGAAGCUUUGGGACUUUUUCAUGAAAUGAAGGACCAGGGUUUCAACCCAGACGACGCAACUUUGGUAAUAGUUUUGCCUAUCUGUGCUCGUUUGGGAGCUGUUGAAGUGGGGCAAUGGAUUCAGUCUUAUGCCGAGUCAAGUGUUUUUUUUCGAGAUUCUGUGUCUGUGGGCAAUGCAUUAGUGGAUUUUCACAGUAAAUGUGGUGUUCUGGAGACUGCUAAGAAAGUAUUUAAUGAGAUGCCUCAAAAGAGUGUGAUUUCUUGGAAUGCGAUGAUCUCAGCUAUGGCUUUUAAUGGGAAAGGUGAACUUGGGAUAGAAUUAUUUGAGGAGAUGACAAAGGCAGGCAUCUGCCCUAAUGAUGCGACCUUUGUAGCGGUUUUAUCAUCAUGUGCUCAUGCAGGGUUAGUAGAAAAGGGGAGGACUUUGUUUGCUUCAAUGACUUUAAAUCACCAAAUUGUUCCGAAACUUGAGCACUAUGGAUGCCUGGUUGAUCUCCUUGGGCGAAGUGGAUUUGUAAGGGAGGCUUAUGAUUUGAUUAGAAGCAUGCCUGAGAAGCCAAAUGCUUCUUUAUGGGGUUCUUUACUCGGUGCUUGCCGUACUCAUGGUGACAUGGAGCUAGCGCAACUUGCAGUUGAAGAGCUUGUAAAUCUUGAACCAUGGAAUUCUGGUAAUUAUGUGUUGUUAUCAAAUAUAUAUGCAGAAGAAGAGAGAUGGGACAAAGUUGAGGAGGUAAGAACAAUGAUGAAGGAGAGGAGCAUCGAGAAAACACCGGGGCAGAGUUCAGUUGGAUAGUUUGCGAUGAUGAAUUGAUUUAAUACCUUACUGCUGGUUGGUUUUUGGGAUCUACUACGUUCUGUUCAUAGUGAAAAUCUCAAUUUCAAGAGCAAAGAUCCUGAUCUUACUUCUGCCAAAGUGAAAUAUAAUUCACAGCAGAGCAGGGCUCAGCAUUCUGAUUCGUCUCGUAAUUUUUAUGAUGUUGACCAUGUCAAUGCAAGUCAGAUGACAAGAAUGUAUUAAAUUAGGAGCCAAAGCCAGAAAUUAUAUUUCAGAUAUAAGUUAUCCUUCGAGUUGUCUCUCUUGCAGUGAAAUUCGUUUGAGAACAUGGAAUCAUUUGGAAAAUGAAAUACUUCGAACAUGGAAAAUAAAUGCUUUUGCCGUGAAUAUCCUGAUGAUAACAAAAUCCCAACAACAGUAGAGAAUGUCAAGAACAAGGGAAAUGAAUGUGGUGAAGGAGGUUACUAGAAAUUUAUAUUCGGGGCCAUGACAUGGUGACCUGAGUAGCAGCACGAUUUGGCUAUAGAAAUUAACUAGGCUUUUGUCCGCGCAACGGUUUAAUAAUUUUUGAUAUAUUAUUUAAUUGAAUAAAAAUAUAGAUGUGCAGCUUUGUCAAUAUAUUUAUACUUAGAAUAGCUUGUGAAAAAAUUGUAACGGUG
rnacentral:misc_RNA from 1 species